AUGAAUAGUUAAACUUGAGGAAGAAAACGAGAAAGGACGGACAAACACAAACUUUGUGUUUGUGUUUGUCCGUCCUUUUCUCGUUUUCUUUCUCAGGUUAAACAGUACUAUA
rnacentral:pre_miRNA from 1 species